GCGGGAAUAGCUCAGUUGGCUAGAGCGUCAGCCUUCCAAGCUGAGGGUCGCGGGUUCGAG
rnacentral:tRNA from 1 species